rnacentral:rRNA from 1 species
UACAGAGGGUCUCAAGCGUUGUUCGGAUUCAUUGGGCGUAAAGGGUGCGUAGGCGGCGCGGUAAGUCGGGUGUGAAAUCUUGGAGCUUAACUCCGAAACUGCAUUCGAUACUGCCGUGCUUGAGGACUGGAGAGGAGACUGGAAUUUACGGUGUAGCGGUGAAAUGCGUAGAUAUCGUAAGGAAGACCAGUGGCGAAGGCGGGUCUCGUGGACAGUUCCUGACGCUGAGGCACGAAGGCCCAGGGGGAGCAAAACGGGG